CUGGAUGUUGAGAGGGGAAUAGGUUGCCCGCUGAAAAGGCACUGUGAGUUGGUUCCUUAUUGACGGUUCAAGGUUUGCUACUAAAAGAGAUGACAAGCUCUUACGGUUUUCACGGUAAUGUGUUUUAUACAGUUUAAUAAACGCAACAGUUUUAUAACAUCUGUCGUCGAGCCAUCAUUUGAUAGAGAUAGCUACAGUAAGAGCUUACGCUUCAUCGAGCCCCCUGCCACUGCCAAGACGAUCGAGUGAGGAAAACGGGACAGAGCUCCAUCCCCUGCACGGACCAGACGGAUGCAAGAGACUUCUCGACCUGACGCUACAGGUUCUGCAGUCAGCGGGAAGCACUACGACACACGGGCAGAAUGUUGAGGGACUCGAUGGAUGGUCAAACACGGCUAGCACCAACAGUUUGAACGAACACAGCAUACCAAAGCUAACAGGUAGGAGUGGAUGCUACAUAUACACAAACUGCUAAGGCAGUGGUUCUCAACCGGGGGUACGUGAAGCCAGUCCAGGGGGUACGUGAGAUUUUUUAAAGAUAUAUUUCAAAUUAGCCUCCAUUCAAAAAUCCUUUAAAAAUAGUUAUUAUACGGCUCUUCAGAAUGUUCCAAAAAGGUCCGUUGAUUUGUAUGGGACAUAUGUGGGUUAAAUGUCUGCGUUCGCAGGUCUGUAAUUUCUUGAUAUUCACAGCUGCGAAAAGUUUAUGACCGAUGUCAUUGGCAACGGGUUUUGUGUUUCUAAUUCACAUCUUUCAUAUCAUUCCGCAAGUAGGUCAUUUAACGUAACGGAAAGUCAUUGAAACUUGAAGUCAGAAGUUUCACACCGUUCACAUUAUAAAGUUUCACCCUCGGUAUCCAAGGCUGAGUAUGGCUAGAGGACUGUGAUGCUACAGAUGAGCACAGACCACAGCUGCUGUCUACGCAUAGUACACAACAACGCACCGAAGAAUACAUGAAUAGUCACGCCCUUCUCACUAGCAAUUAAUAUUCAGUUAAAGACUCAAUUCCAAGUGAUGAGUACACAACACAGGGGUUUUCAACUGGUUUUGUCCCAGGGACCACCAUUCUGACUAGAAAGUAAUCUGUGGCCCACUGACGUGCGUGUAUGUGGAUAGA
ensembl:lncRNA